UCCCCUCACUCUAAUUAGGAACCAUAGCUAUGGUGAUUGCUGUGUUUCAAGGAUGGACAAACAUGCACAUAAAGGCCCCUGUGGUGCUGCGGUCUCUCUGGAAGGCUGUCCCCUGCUAGCAUCAGAGAAUCUCCUGUUCUUACAGGUGGAGAGAAACAUGAGGAGCAGACAGCAGCCCGUGGAAAGCGGAACAAGGACUUUGUACUCCAGACAAAGGCAGAAAGGGGGCCUGAUCCAUGAGUCCAGGGGUUGCCAUGACGACCGUCCUCCAGAAGCAAAAAUUUUAAGGCUACUCCGACUAGGCCAGUAGUGCAAAUGUCUGCAUUCCCAACUCUUCCUCCACCCUGCUCCAUCACCAGAAAAUAUCUUCAUAUUUUUUUCCCCUGGGGAGAAUAAGGGGAAAAAAAGGACAACACAGAUGACGUCAGGAUGGCUAGCAGAUUGUUGGUAUAACCCGGCUGUCUGCCCCCCUCUUUCUUCCUGCAAACUAAAGUCUGACCUCAUCCAUCAUUUAUGCCACAGAUCAGCUUUCUGGGCUUUCAAACUGGGAAGAAAGAAAGAACAGGACCAAGGAUGCUUUCUUACUCUCCUGUUUCAGCACUGAGGCAGAGGAUCCCUUGACAUGAGCACUCUUCACUGUCUUCCACAUCUUGCCAUGUUCUGUGCUUGAGAGUUGCAGUCUCUGAAAAAUAUGAGACUCUGCCCAAAGGUGAAAUGCAGUCAGCUAAGUUCUUGGGUGCCUUUCUGGAUUUGAGAACCUGUUUGGAAUCAGCCAUACGUUUCCGUCCACUGGGAAAUGGGGUUGACCUGCCUUAGCCAGGCCUCACAUGCCAUCCUGAUGAAACAUUAUUUUAGGGGCUGGCAGCCCUGAACUGGCUUCUGUUCUGCUGGCCCCAUAGGCUGGCUCAGUUCCAGGCUCACCUUUCGCUACCCUUGUGGCUGCCACAUUGCCCAGCUUUGAUUUAUCGUGUCUUCAGCAGAGCUGUGGGCCUAGAGUGAUUUAAUGUUGAUAUUAUAUGUCACACAGAAGAUGCCAGCAUCGCCAGCAGAUCUCAUGUCUCCACUCUCCAGCAGUCUGGAUUGAGGGCCCUAAAGAAGGCAGGUGACCCUAAGGCCCCCUCUUGGAAAGGGGCUGUUGAACGUCCUUUACUCUUCUUAAAAUUUCCAUUUGAAACCUGUUUUGCUGCAUGUCACCCCCUGCAGCCAAUAUUGAUGUUAAUCUUGGGCUGCAUAUGCAAUGUGACCUCGGAUGAAAUUGAACAACUGGGUAAUUAUCUGUGGACCUAUUUCUAAUGAAAUAAUUGGAAUAAUUGGAAUAGGAUUAGUAGAACUGCAGAGAGACCUGUUGCUCCUAGCUGGGCUCUUAAUGCCAAACAAAAGAAGCAACGUGUCAGUAAUUCAGUUGGUGGAUGCCUUGGAGCCAUUCAAGAUGCAUUUUGCUCAUUAGCCAAAUCUCUUCCUGCCCUCAUCCUCCCCCAACAUUUGUUUCAGAUGUGAUUUUCAUGAAGCAUGUCCCUGUGUCUUGUUUGUCUUUGGCAAACACAAGUAACUAUUAUAAAUAUAGCAUUGGAUCUCCCUGCUCUUUGGGGACCCUGAGAUUUAUAGUGCCAUGGUUGCUAAUUAAUUUAUGAUUCCUUCAUUUAACAAACAUGUUGAAUGAGCCAUUUGUAAACACAUCUUGACUGAGUACCUCCUAUGCCUCAGCCACUCUUCUAGGCACUGACAGUGGGAGAGGCAGACAAUAGAUAAGCAGAACAAAUCAGUUGAUCAAUCAAUAGAGAUGAUGUGAUUUGAGAUGAUGAUAAGAGAUGAAAAGGCAGCCUGUGAUGGAGAAGGGAUAGGAGGAAAUGACCAGUUUAUAUCUAGUGGGCAAGGAGGACAGAGACAUAGAGAAUUUGUUACCAAAACACCAGGAGUUUUGUCUAAGUUCUGUUGCUUGACACCCAGAAAGCCAAUCACUGAGAAGACGACUGUUGCCAGGGAAGAAGGCUUUAAUCGGGUGCUGCAGCUGAGGAGGUGGGAGAUAGAGUCUUGAGUCCAUCUACUCAAGCACCUAAAAUCAGGGGUUUGUAUAGCACGGCAGAAAUGUAACCAUGUAUGGGAAAACAGAAAUUAGGAAGGAGUGAGGAAGAGGAGUUGGUCAACAGGAAGCAGGUGGUCAG
rnacentral:lncRNA from 1 species